CGGGGCGUGGUGUAACGGCAGCAUUCGGGACUGUAGAUCCUGCGGUGGGCGUUCGACUCGCUCUGCCCCGA
rnacentral:tRNA from 1 species